AAGGGUAGCUUGCUACCUGACCUAGCGGCGGACGGGUGAGUAAUGCUUAGGAAUCUGCCUAUUAGUGGGGGACAACAUUCCGAAAGGAAUGCUAAUACCGCAUACGCCCUACGGGGGAAAGCAGGGGAUCUUCGGACCUUGCGCUAAUAGAUGAGCCUAAGUCAGAUUAGCUAGUUGGUGGGGUAAAGGCCUACCAAGGCGACGAUCUGUAGCGGGUCUGAGAGGAUGAUCCGCCACACUGGGACUGAGACACGGCCCAGACUCCUACGGGAGGCAGCAGUGGGGACUAUUGGACAAUGGGCGAAAGCCUGAUCCAGCCAUGCCGCGUGUGUGAAGAAGGCCUUUUGGUUGUAAAGCACUUUAAGCGAGGAGGAGGCUACUUGGAUUAAUACUCUAGGAUAGUGGACGUUACUCGCAGAAUAAGCACCGGCUAACUCUGUGCCAGCAGCCGCGGUAAUACAGAGGGUGCGAGCGUUAAUCGGAUUUACUGGGCGUAAAGCGUGCGUAGGCGGCUUUUUAAGUCGGAUGUGAAAUCCCUGAGCUUAACUUAGGAAUUGCAUUCGAUACUGGGAAGCUAGAGUAUGGGAGAGGAUGGUAGAAUUCCAGGUGUAGCGGUGAAAUGCGUAGAGAUCUGGAGGAAUACCGAUGGCGAAGGCAGCCAUCUGGCCUAAUACUGACGCUGAGGUACGAAAGCAUGGGGAGCAAACAGGAUUAGAUACCCUGGUAGUCCAUGCCGUAAACGAUGUCUACUAGCCGUUGGGGCCUUUGAGGCUUUAGUGGCGCAGCUAACGCGAUAAGUAGACCGCCUGGGGAGUACGGUCGCAAGACUAAAACUCAAAUGAAUUGACGGGGGCCCGCACAAGCGGUGGAGCAUGUGGUUUAAUUCGAUGCAACGCGAAGAACCUUACCUGGUCUUGACAUAGUAAGAACUUUCCAGAGAUGGAUUGGUGCCUUCGGGAACUUACAUACAGGUGCUGCAUGGCUGUCGUCAGCUCGUGUCGUGAGAUGUUGGGUUAAGUCCCGCAACGAGCGCAACCCUUUUCCUUAUUUGCCAGCGGGUUAAGCCGGGAACUUUAAGGAUACUGCCAGUGACAAACUGGAGGAAGGCGGGGACGACGUCAAAUCAUCAUGGCCCUUACGACCAGGGCUACACACGUGCUACAAUGGUCGGUACAAAGGGUUGCUACCUAGCGAUAGGAUGCUAAUCUCAAAAAGCCGAUCGUAGUCCGGAUUGGAGUCUGCAACUCGACUCCAUGAAGUCG
rnacentral:rRNA from 1 species